rnacentral:rRNA from 1 species
UAGGUUAACGAGGCGAACCGGGGGAACUGAAACAUCUAAGUACCCCGAGGAAAAGAAAUCAACCGAGAUUCCCCCAGUAGCGGCGAGCGAACGGGGAGCAGCCCAGAGUCUGAAUCAGCUUGUGUGUUAGUGGAACGGUCUGGAAAGUCCGACGGUACAGGGUGAUAGUCCCGUACACCAAAAUGCACAGGUUGUGAACUCGAAGAGUAGGGCGGGACACGUGGUAUCCUGUCUGAAUAUGGGGGGACCAUCCUCCAAGGCUAAAUACUCCUGACUGACCGAUAGUGAACCAGUACCGUGAGGGAAAGGCGAAAAGAACCCCGGCGAGGGGAGUGAAAAAGAACCUGAAACCGUGUACGUACAAGCAGUGGGAGCACCUUCGGGUGUGACUGCGUACCUUUUGUAUAAUGGGUCAGCGACUUAU